UCUAGGCCCCGUCAGGAGCCCGAGUUGUAAUUUGGAGAGGACACUUCGGGUGUGGCCGCGGCGUAAGUCCCUUGGAACAGGGCGUCAUAGAGGGUGAGAAUCCCGUCUUGCGCCGCCGGACCACAGCCCAUGCGAAGUUCCUUCGACGAGUCGAGUUGUUUGGGAAUGCAGCUCUAAGUGGGUGGUAAAUUUCAUCUAAAGCUAAAUAUUGGCCAGAGACCGAUAGCGAACAAGUAGAGUGAUCGAAAGGUUAAAAGCACCUUGAAAAGGGAGUUAAAUAGCACGUGAAAUUGUUGAAAGGGAAGCGCUUGCAACCAGACUCGGUCGCGGGGGCUCAGCGGGUAUGCUUGCCCGUGUACUCCCCCGCGUUCGGGCCAGCAUCGGUUCCGGCGGUUGGUCAAAGGCCCCUGGAAUGUGUCGUCCUCCGGGACGUCUUAUAGCCAGGGGCGCAAUGCUGCCAGCCGGGACCGAGGAACGCGCUUCGGCACGGAUGCUGGCAUAAUGGUUGUAAGCGGCCCGUCUUGAAACACGGAACCA
rnacentral:rRNA from 1 species